GCCCUUAGAGUUUGAUCCUGGCUCAGGACGAACGCUGGCGGCGCGCUUAACACAUGCGAGUUGAACGCUCCGCCCUCUACUGCCCUUCGGGGCAGAAGAGGAUUACGGAGAGUAGCGGACGGGUGAGUAACACGUAGGUAACCUGCCCUGGAGAGGAGGAUAACUCUGCGAAAGCGGAGCUAAUCCUCCAUAUGUUAGGGCAUCGUAAGAUGCCUUAAUGAAAGGCGGCAUUAAGCCGUCGUUUCAGGAUGGGCCUGCGUCGGAUUAGCUAGCUGGUAGGGUAAAGGCCUACCAGGGCGACAAUCCGUAGCUGGUCUGAGAGGACGAUCAGCCACACUGGGACUGAGACACGGCCCAGACUCCUACGGGAGGCAGCAGUGGGGAAUCUUCCGCAAUGGGCGCAAGCCUAACGGAGCGACGCCGCGUGAGUGAAGAAGGCCUUCGGGUCGUAAAGCUCUGUCAGUGGGGAAGAAGGCAGUCAUCAAGAAAAGGGUGACUGUUGACGGUACCCGCAAAGGAAGCCCUGGCCAACUACGUGCCAGCAGCCGCGGUAACACGUAGAGGGCAAGCGUUGUCCGGAAUUACUGGGCGUAAAGGGCGCGCAGGCGGCAAGGCAAGUCGGGUGUGAAAACCUGGGGCUUAACCCCAGGCGUGCAUUCGAAACUGUCUUGCUUGAGGACAGCAGAGGGAAACGGAAUUCCUGGUGUAGUGGUGAAAUACGUAGAUAUCAGGAGGAACACCAGUGGCGAAAGCGGUUUCCUGGGCUGAUCCUGACGCUGAGGCGCGAAAGCCGGGGGAGCGAACGGGAUUA
rnacentral:rRNA from 1 species